UGACAAAGAAAGCUCCAAUAAAAAUAAUAAAAAAUCUCACUUAUUAUUUUAAAAGUUAUUUAUCAUUCUACAAUGUUCGUGAAAAAUAAUCACACCUGUAGAAAAAAAUUGCCGAAAUGCUAAAAUUUUUAUUUUUCAAGUUGGAACAUUAGUUUAUAGCUCUAGCAACUCUAUGAUUUGCCUUGUUAUGACUAGUGUAGGCCAUAUUUCUGCAAGUGAUAGCAUUUCAGAGAAUCAUUAAGUUGUAUAGGCGUUCUACACCAGUGUCAAAGUUGAAGUCUCAUUUCUGUACUCAAUAAAAAAAAUUUUUUCAGGCAUAUCAGGCAAAACGCGAUUGGAGAAAGAAAAAGAGUAACGUUUAGGAAGAACAAAAAAAGGCUUGGAUACCGAAGAAGAGACAAAAAAUGACCAAAGCUGGACCGGAAGGAGCACAUCGAAA